CAGGACACAGCAAGGCCUGGGAAGUCACUCUGCAUCAUCUGUAGAGGCCACCAACAGUUGCCACUACAGGAUUGAGUAGAACCCUCCUGCGUGUUAGCUAGCCUGUCGAGAUGUUAGAGAUGAAGGCGGUAGCAUGAGUCAUAGAAUGUGGUGGUCACAAGAUGGUCAUAGCUCUGGGUGACACCACCUUGCCCUUCAGAGGCAACCUGCUGCUCACUACUUCAAUAAUUGUAUUCUCUCUUUACUUUUUACUUUGAAAUUGUUUAGGCUUACAGAAAAUAAUGGGGAAAAAAGUAAAACUCUUAGAGCUUUAACUCAACCUCUCAUGUAGCACAGCAUAGAACCCUCUGUCUGCCCAAGGCCAUGUGUGUGUCCUCCUUGUUCUUCUGUGACGUGACGUAUUGAAGAGUCCAAGCCAGUUCUUUUGUAGAAUAUCCUUCAGUUGCAAUCUAACUGAUGCUUUCACUGAUAAGACUGGGGGCCUGUGUUUUUGACAAGAUAUCCACAGAAGUCAGUGCCCUGCCACCUCCUUCGCAGCGCCUGGCACUGUUAGCUAUGACCCAGAAGCUCGAGCUGUCUGUAAAAAGGUUCUCUACUGUAACACUAAUACUGUAGUAUUAGACCUUGGCUAGCGUGCAUGAGGGCCUGGGUUGAUUCCCAGUGCCACAAAAAUAAAUAAGUAUAUAAAUAAAUAUAAUUUUCCCCUGGAACUGAAAGCAAGCCAGACUACUGGCUUAUACCUGGACUCCCAACAAUUGGGAGGUUGAGAUAGAACUGUCACAAGUUUGAGGCUACCUUUUGCUGCAUACUGAGUUCCAGACCAACCUAGGCUACAUAGUAAAACACUGUCUCCAAGGGUCAGGCAGGUAUAUCUGUAUAAAUUCACGACUAACCUGGUCUACAGUGAGCUGCAGGCCAACCAGGGCUGCAUAGUGAGACCCUAAUCCCUUAACAUGGCCAAGCGGGUUAUGGCACUUGGUGCUCAAUCUGAUGAGUUCAAUUCCCUGAACUCAUACAAAAAUGGAAGGAGAGAACCAACCUCAAAAAAAAAAAAAAAAAAAUGGUCCUCUGGCCACACUGUGGUGGCAUGAGCACCCGCCCCCAUCCAUACACAGACACAUACACAUGAGUAAUAAUACAUGUUUAAACGUAAUGAUAAUGUUCUGGGAAGAUACUUAAAGCUGUUUAAAUAUCACGUGCUUAGAAUUUUUCUUAGUGUCCAUCUUAGCUAAGACAUUUUACUGUUGAAUUUGCUGUUACUUAUGAAGAUUUUAUUGUUUCUCAUUCAUCUGUAUUUAAUAAUUGGUAUUCUGUUCCAAAGCUUUUACCUCAUUCCCUUGUUCAAUAGUGUAUGCUCAUUUAUUCUGUUGGUUGUAGUGCAGUAGGAAGCGUGUUGCUCAGUGAGCCCCACAUGACUGAGGCGAGCUCCUUCAGCCUU
rnacentral:lncRNA from 1 species